rnacentral:rRNA from 1 species
GAUGAACGCUGGCGGCGUGCCUAAUACAUGCAAGUCGAGCGAACGGACGAGAAGCUUGCUUCUCUGAUGUUAGCGGCGGACGGGUGAGUAACACGUGGAUAACCUACCUAUAAGACUGGGAUAACUUCGGGAAACCGGAGCUAAUACCGGAUAAUAUUUUGAACCGCAUGGUUCAAAAGUGAAAGACGGUCUUGCUGUCACUUAUAGAUGGAUCCGCGCUGCAUUAGCCAGUUGGUAAGGUAACGGCUUACCAAGGCAACGAUGCAUAGCCGACCUGAGAGGGUGAUCGGCCACACUGGAACUGAGACACGGUCCAGACUCCUACGGGAGGCAGCAGUAGGGAAUCUUCCGCAAUGGGCGAAAGCCUGACGGAGCAACGCCGCGUGAGUGAUGAAGGUCUUCGGAUCGUAAAACUCUGUUAUUGGGGAAGAACAUAUGUGUAAGUAACUGUGCACAUCUUGACGGUACCUAAUCAGAAAGCCACGGCUAACUACGUG